GUUGUAUGGUUAAGUGACUAAGCGUACACGGUGGAUGCCUGGGCAGUCAGAGGCGAUGAAGGACGUACUAACUUGCGAUAAGCGCAGAUAAGGCAGUAAGAGCCGUUUGAGUCUGCGAUUUCCGAAUGGGGAAACCCAACUGCAUAAGCAGUUACUGUUAACUGAAUACAUAGGUUAACAGAGCAAACCGGGGGAACUGAAACAUCUAAGUACCCCGAGGAGAAGAAAUCAACCGAGAUUCCGGUAGUAGCGGCGAGCGAACCUGGAUUAGCCCUUAAGCACUCGGUGAAGUAGGUGAACAAGCUGGAAAGCUUGGCGAUACAGGGUGAUAGCCCCGUAACCGACGCUUCAUCGAGCGUGAAAUCGAGUAGGGCGGGACACGUGAUAUCCUGUCUGAAUAUGGGGGGACCAUCCUCCAAGGCUAAAUACUCCUGACUGACCGAUAGUGAACCAGUACCGUGAGGGAAAGGCGAAAAGAACCCCUGUGAGGGGAGUGAAAUAGAACCUGAAACCGUGUACGUACAAGCAGUAGGAGCACCUUCGUGGUGUGACUGCGUACCUUUUGUAUAAUGGGUCAGCGACUUAUAUUCAGUGGCAAGGUUAACCGUAUAGGGGAGCCGUAGCGAAAGCGAGUCUUAACUGGGCGCUCAGUCUCUGGAUAUAGACCCGAAACCGGGUGAUCUAGCCAUGGGCAGGUUGAAGGUUGAGUAACAUCAACUGGAGGACCGAACCGACUAAUGUUGAAAAAUUAGCGGAUGACUUGUGGCUAGGGGUGAAAGGCCAAUCAAACUCGGAGAUAGCUGGUUCUCCCCGAAAGCUAUUUAGGUAGCGCCUCGGACGAAUACUACUGGGGGUAGAGCACUGUUAAGGCUAGGGGGUCAUCCCGACUUACCAACCCUUUGCAAACUCCGAAUACCAGUAAGUACUAUCCGGGAGACACACGGCGGGUGCUAACGUCCGUCGUGGAGAGGGAAACAACCCAGACCGCCAGCUAAGGUCCCAAAGUAUUGCUAAGUGGGAAACGAUGUGGGAAGGCUCAGACAGCUAGGAUGUUGGCUUAGAAGCAGCCAUCAUUUAAAGAAAGCGUAAUAGCUCACUAGUCGAGUCGGCCUGCGCGGAAGAUGUAACGGGGCUAAGCAAUACACCGAAGCUGCGGCAAUAUCUUUUAGAUAUUGGGUAGGGGAGCGUUCUGUAAGCCGUUGAAGGUGAAUCGUAAGGUUUGCUGGAGGUAUCAGAAGUGCGAAUGCUGACAUGAGUAACGACAAAGGGGGUGAAAAACCUCCUCGCCGGAAGACCAAGGGUUCCUGUCCAACGUUAAUCGGGGCAGGGUGAGUCGACCCCUAAGGUGAGGCCGAAAGGCGUAAUCGAUGGGAAACGGGUUAAUAUUCCCGUACUUCUGACUAUUGCGAUGGGGGGACGGAGAAGGCUAGGUGGGCCAGGCGACGGUUGUCCUGGUUCAAGUGCGUAGGCUUGAGAGUUAGGUAAAUCCGGCUCUCUUUAAGGCUGAGACACGACGUCGAGCUGCUACGGCAGUGAAGUCAUUGAUGCCAUGCUUCCAGGAAAAGCCUCUAAGCUUCAGAUAGUCAGGAAUCGUACCCCAAACCGACACAGGUGGUCGGGUAGAGAAUACCAAGGCGCUUGAGAGAACUCGGGUGAAGGAACUAGGCAAAAUGGUACCGUAACUUCGGGAGAAGGUACGCUCUUGAUGGUGAAGUCCCUCGCGGAUGGAGCUGACGAGAGUCGCAGAUACCAGGUGGCUGCAACUGUUUAUUAAAAACACAGCACUGUGCAAAAUCGCAAGAUGACGUAUACGGUGUGACGCCUGCCCGGUGCCGGAAGGUUAAUUGAUGGGGUUAGCGCAAGCGAAGCUCUUGAUCGAAGCCCCGGUAAACGGCGGCCGUAACUAUAACGGUCCUAAGGUAGCGAAAUUCCUUGUCGGGUAAGUUCCGACCUGCACGAAUGGCGUAAUGAUGGCCACGCUGUCUCCACCCGAGACUCAGUGAAAUUGAAAUCGCUGUGAAGAUGCAGUGUACCCGCGGCUAGACGGAAAGACCCCGUGAACCUUUACUACAGCUUGGCACUGAACAUUGAACCUACAUGUGUAGGAUAGGUGGGAGGCUAUGAAGACGUGACGCCAGUUGCGUUGGAGCCGUCCUUGAAAUACCACCCUUGUAUGUUUGAUGUUCUAACUUAGACCCAUUAUCUGGGUUGAGGACAGUGCCUGGUGGGUAGUUUGACUGGGGCGGUCUCCUCCCAAAGAGUAACGGAGGAGCACGAAGGUGGGCUAAUCACGGUUGGACAUCGUGAGGUUAGUGCAAUGGCAUAAGCCCGCUUAACUGCGAGAAUGACGGUUCGAGCAGGUGCGAAAGCAGGUCAUAGUGAUCCGGUGGUUCUGUAUGGAAGGGCCAUCGCUCAACGGAUAAAAGGUACUCCGGGGAUAACAGGCUGAUACCGCCCAAGAGUUCAUAUCGACGGCGGUGUUUGGCACCUCGAUGUCGGCUCAUCACAUCCUGGGGCUGAAGUCGGUCCCAAGGGUAUGGCUGUUCGCCAUUUAAAGUGGUACGCGAGCUGGGUUUAGAACGUCGUGAGACAGUUCGGUCCCUAUCUGCCGUGGGCGUUGGAAGAUUGAAGGGGGCUGCUCCUAGUACGAGAGGACCGGAGUGGACGAACCUCUGGUGUUCGGGUUGUGUCGCCAGACGCAUUGCCCGGUAGCUAAGUUCGGAAUUGAUAAGCGCUGAAAGCAUCUAAGCGCGAAGCGAGCCCUGAGAUGAGUCUUCCCUGA
rnacentral:rRNA from 1 species